rnacentral:sRNA from 1 species
GAAUUUGUCUUCCUGUACUGCCAGGAGAGCAGCUGCCAGCAGCAACUCUGAACAGACCCAUCUCAGGGACGUGGAAACUAUUCAACUUGGGAUGCAGCAGGAAGGAUCAGAAUGUUCUCUCUCCAGUCAACUGCUGGAAUCUCCUCUUAAACCAGGUGAAGCGGGAAAGCAGGGACCAUACCACCCUGAGUGACAUCUACCUGAAUAAUAUCAUUCCUCGAUUUGUACAAGUCAGCGAGGACUCAGGAAGACUCUUUAAAAAGAGUAAAGAAGUCGGCCAGCAGCUCCAAGAUGAUUUGAUGAAGGUCCUGAACGAGCUCUACUCGGUCAUGAAGACAUAUCACAUGUACAAUGCCGACAGCAUCAGUGCUCAGAGCAAACUAAAGGAGGCGGAGAAGCAGGAGGAGAAGCAAAUUGGUAAAUCGGUAAAGCAGGAGGACCGGCAGACCCCACGCUCCCCUGACUCCACGGCCAACGUUCGCAUUGAGGAGAAACAUGUCCGGAGGAGCUCAGUGAAGAAGAUUGAGAAGAUGAAGGAGAAG